rnacentral:rRNA from 1 species
UACGAAGGGGGCUAGCGUUGUUCGGAAUCACUGGGCGUAAAGGGCGCGUAGGCGGUCUUCUAAGUCUUGUGUGAAAUCCCUCGGCUCAACUGAGGAACUGCACGGGAUACUGGAAGACUUGAGUUCGGGAGAGGGAAGCGGAAUUCCCGGUGUAGAGGUGAAAUUCGUAGAUAUCGGGAGGAACACCGGUGGCGAAGGCGGCAGCCUGGGUUGACACUGACGCUGAGGCGCGAAAGCGUGGGGAGCAAACAGG